UACGUAGGGCGCAAGCGUUAUCCGGAAUUAUUGGGCGUAAAGAGCUCGUAGGCGGUUUGUCGCGUCUGCUGUGAAAUCUGGGGGCUCAACCCCCAGCCUGCAGUGGGUACGGGCAGACUAGAGUGCGGUAGGGGAGAUUGGAAUUCCUGGUGUAGCGGUGGAAUGCGCAGAUAUCAGGAGGAACACCGAUGGCGAAGGCAGAUCUCUGGGCCGUAACUGACGCUGAGGAGCGAAAGGGUGGGGAGCAAACAGG
rnacentral:rRNA from 1 species